CUUUCUUUCCUUUUCUUUUUUCUUCCUCCUUUCUUUCUCCCUUCCUUCUUCUUUCUUUCUUCUUUUUUCCCUCUGACAACUGACUUAUAUUUCAAAACUCUGUUUGCUUACCAUUUAUUUGAAACGUAGAAGCAAUUUUUUAAAGAGGCACUUCAGUCAGUUCAUGGGAAAUUGUUUUACGCAUAAGAUCACAGAACUUCAUUACUUGUAUUAGUUCAUUUGUACUAACUCAUUCAACAUGUUUAUUGAGGACCUACUAUAUCGCAGGCUCUGUCCCAGGCACAGAGAUAUCAGAGAGCUCAAAACAGAGUCCCUCCUCUGAGAAAUUUUCAAUGGGAAAUACAGACAGGAGAGUCAGCUAUAUGAUAUAAUAAAUACCGUGAUUUGCGGAAAUAUAAGGAUAUAAAUACAGUCAUGCAUUGCUUAAUGACAGGGAUAUGUUCCAACAAAUAUGUGGUUAUAGGAUUUCACAUGGUGUGAACAUCGUAGAGCACACUUACAUAAACCUAGCUGGUAAAGCCUCCUGCAUGCCUAAGCUGUGUAUCGUGGUCUAUCGCUCCUAGGCUACAAACCUGUGCAGCGUGGGACUGUACUGAGUACCGUCGGCAGUUGUAACACAACGGGAAGCAUUUGCAUAGCUAAAUGUAGAAAAGGUGCAGUAAAAGGACGGUAUCAUCAUCUUACGGGACUGCCCUUGUAUGGGCUGUCCAUCACGGACUGAAACAUUAUGUGGCACAUGACUAUAUUAUAAAACCCCCUUUUAUAAGAUUAUCUUGUAGGUCAAAGUGCCUCAAGUUAUGAAUCCCAGGAGCACACAUUCCCUGGUUGAAGCCAGGGGCAGAUCCGAGUCUCUGGGACCGUCCAGGAGGGAGGGAGCGUGACGGAUGGGAAGGAAGGGAAAGGUGAGGACUGUAGUGAUGGCUGCUCUUCCGGAGAUGAGUUUUCCUAGAGGGCCUCUGACUCACUGGGGGGUGAAAAUUUCACUCUUUCAUCCAUUUCAACAACUUUUGACACCUCUGCAUGCUCAGCACUAUAUUGAGUACUAGGGCUACGGCAGCAGACAAGACCAGCAAAGCUUGUUCUAGUGGAGGGAGACAGAAAAGACAGGCAAAAUGAUACAAAUAGUAGUUGUAGCUAGUUCUAAGGGUAAUAAAGAAGGAAGAGAAAAGAGAGCCAACUGGCCUUCAGUGUGCCCCAUGUGGUAGGCAAGGAGGGGAGAUGCAGGCGGGGAGGGCAGGGAGCUGAGCCGCAUCUGUGUUUGUUAGGAACUGAGGGUCCUGCUAAGAUGUUUGGAUUUUAUUCCAAGCACAAUGGAAGAUGCUGAUGAAUUGUAAGCAGGGGAAUGAUGAGAGCCAAUUUACAUUUUGAAAGGAAUCCUCCAGUUGCUGUAUGGGGAAUGGGUUACAGGAAGCAAGAGUGAAACAGACAUACCUGUUAGGAGGCUGCUGCAGGGGCCUGGGCAAAAGAAUGUGGCAGCUUGGCCCAGGUGGCAACAGCGAAGAUGGGGGAAGGGGAAGCAGUCAGAGUAUGUUCUUCAGGCAGGACUGAAAGAGCCUGAUGGUGGCUUUGAUAUGGGGAUAAGAGACAAUAAGGAAUCAAUGAGGACUUCUAGGGUUUGAGCUUGAACAAAAACAGGAGUGAUUGGUGGUGAUGGUGGUGCUAUUUAAGGAGAUGAGAAAAAAAAAAAAAAGAAGGAACAGGAAUUUUUCAAAAAGAGAUGAAAUCUGAGGACAUUUAAUCCUUGGGUCAGCAGAAAACAGACCACCACUGGAAAAGGGGAAGAUUUUUCCAAAGUCUGAUGUACUGAAGUUGAAAAUCAUCUCUGCCUUUUCCUACAGUUUCCAGUUAAUUUGCAAUUGCUUGUUCAUUCUAUAUCAGCCUUGCCAUUCUUGGGAGUAUUCUUGGCUUCAUCUCCAAAGACAAAUUCACAGAUAAAGAAAACUAUAAUCCUCAAGUCUGUGUUCAGAGUAGAUACUGGUGCUGGACGACCUUUACGUAUUUCAUUUAACCUAUUUCAAGAAAUGAAUUAAAGUACAUAUUAACCAGUUAAUACAGUAUCCUAUAUGCCAAUGAUCUGUACCUAAAUAGAUGUUUUGAUAUAAACAAAGUGCAAUUGCAGGGAUAGAGACCUUGGGAGGAAAUUUGCAGAAACCUAAUAAUAGGAGUUGACUAAGGGAAAUAGAGGCUCUAAGUAGAGGCAGAAAGGAAGAUGCACAAAAAAAGAAUGCCAGCUGAUCAUCAUUAAGGAUUUCAAGGCUAUGAAAUCUCUUCUCUUCUUCCCAGGAUACCAUAAAAGCAGCUUUCUUCCUCAGAGACAGCUCAAAUUGUUUUAUGAGUCAAAGGGUGACCUCCUUAGCAGUGAUGUGAUCACAUAAUGGGUGGAAUAUUGGGGAAAUAUUACCAGGAAAAACAAGGUAAUUUGGAGGGAUUCUCCUACCUAGGUACUGACUGAGACAAGUAUACAGAAACCAUUCACAUAAAUCACAAAACUGACGUCCCAGGGAGGCCAUAACUUAGUAUCCUAGAGAUCUGAGCUCUGAGAAUCACUGAAGGAACGCGUAGUGAAUAGGACUCCUCUACCGCUCUUUUCCCUUUUCUAGUGAGAAGCUGGGACCUUGAGGAUCUGUGAGGGGACACCCACACAGUCAGACCCACUUUGUUUCCUAGAACCUGUCACUUCCUGCAAAAGAAAGGAUUGGUUAUCGAUGUGGUGCAAUGAUGUCAUUGUCAAAUUCUCUGGGUCAGAGAGGAAGGGAUUUCCUCCUGAGCAAGACUCAGAAAACAUGGCUGAUGAUUGCCUUAGAUGGCUUGCAUAGCUGGCCAUGCCACCAGGCAGACUUGGGGAAGUGAUGCUAAAGGAAAGGCUGAAGUCAAACAGAAAGAGGCAAGGCUAGAGGAUUUGAAACCCCUGUCUUCCAUCGCCGUCUUGGACCUGAUUCUGACAGUGGUCUUGGGUUUCUUUGUCUUUGUUUCCCUACUCAGUAAAUGGUAAUGAUAGCUAGGCCAUAGACCAUGUGUUUGUUAGAAAUCCUCACAAUAUUAUGCAACGUGCCUUAAAACAUUGCCUGGAAGUAGCAACUUAUUUCAAUGUGGAGGUAAAGAUAUAAAUAUAGUUGUAGCUACAGACACAGAUAUAGACACACACAUCCCAGUGUAGCUGUGUUUAUUACACAGAACCCUCCCAAUGACAACCCUGAGUAACACUGGAAUCCUUGCUGCUGAAACACAUAAACAUUGUUCCUGCCCCGGGGCUUUUGCACCUGCUGACCCCAAUAUCUGAAAUGUAUUCUAAAAUAGAACUGCUCCUCUGUUCUUUCCAACCCCUUACUCUACUAUUUUUGCAUAGUAUUUAUUACCACCUGAAAUUAUUAUGUGUGGCUAUUUGUUUAUUCACAUAUGACCUUUAUCUCCCACUAAAAUGAGAGCUCCAUGAGGAUGUGGAGUUUAUUCACAUCCAUGACCCCUGUGCCUACAAUACCUCACACUCAGGAGGUAGCUCAAUAUAUUUUUGCUGAAUAAGUGAAUGUUAUCAAAACAAGCAAAUGAUUAUCAACUCUGUGGUUAAGAAAAAAGAAACCUAUACUUUUUCCAAUAAGGGUUUAAGAACUCUAAAGAUAUUAUAAUAGCUUCUCUUAUUAUCUGUUGUAUUGCAAAUAGUCCAUUGAGAGAGAGGGAGUUUGGCAAGAGGGAAGAGUGUCUUUUCCCGACGUGCGUUACUGCACAGCACUGUGGCCCUGAUUUAAGGCUGUGGAGUUGUAGUGGUGGGGGGGGAUUGAGCUCCUACAGGAGGCGGUGGUAAUGCUAGGGGCUGGUCUGGGAGAAGUUAGACCUCUUUUUGUUAAUCUCUGCUGGCCCUCUCAGGCUCUCCAGCCAUCAUGCUAAGCAUACAUGGGGCCAUGCCAAGGCAGCCAUCAAGGUGAGCCACUUCUACCUCUGAGACAGACUGCCAACCCUAGGCCUCACCCUGGGAAAUUCUGAUGGGGCUACAAGGAGCCUGCUGUAGUUGGAUGGUUUCCUGCAGUGAGGGAUCAAAAGAAAGACACCCCUGGGUACAGGGCGCCCAGCACUUCCCUUCUCACUGACUUCUCCCAGCUCCCUCUCACACUAUUCUCUGCUGAGGGGUCACUUUGGCUCAUUCAUCUGUGCUUUCAGUGGCUUUCCUGGUAACGUAUCCUAUAUGUUCAUUACCCUGUGCACAACAUAUGUCUGUUUUUGUUCCUUAUUUACAGUUUCACCUGGACAUCAGUGUCCUUCUCUAAAGCAGAUCAGCCACUGUCUAUUUUUGCCUUUCCCUUCUGGAUACCUCUCUGGGCUCCAAUUCUCUGGAGUUCCAGCAGCCCCACUAGGGCUUAUAGGAAGCUGCCUUUUUGGUUUUAGCUGCUGGUUCUCCUCCCAUACUUAUUUCAUACAGUAUUGUCCACCCCUGAGACCAUUCCCUAGGGCAACACAUGCAGUCCAUUCAUUUGACAAAUAUUUGUUGAGCGUCCCAGCGCUGGACUGUGCUGUCUCCCAUGAAGUUAUCAUUUAGAGGCAGGAGGAAACAGCAAACAUGUAAUCACAGAAAUAAGGAUAUUCUUACAGCUGACUGGGGCUGUGAGGGAAAGGGAUCAAUCAUUAUGAUCCAACAAGGGAACCUGCUUUUGAUGCCUAGAACAUGAUAUUUAAGUGCUGUUGGACAAGUAGAAGUUAGCAAGGUAAAAAUUGAAGAGAAGCACAUUUCAGGGACCUAUGCCAUGAGAAAGAGCUAAGGGAGCUUAGGAAACAGAGGAAAGAUCAAAAUGUGGGGGACCCUGCAAAGAAAGGGCAAAGAGGCAUAAGACCAGUGAAGGCGCUAAGAUCAAACAGGGUACAAGCAGCCACUCUGACGACUUUUAAUUUUAUACUAAGGGCCAUGGAAAGUCAUUGAAGAGUCUGCUGUUGUACUAACCGUGAACUGGAAAAAGGUCAGAAGGAAAAUGGGGAGUGAUUGUUGCAGUAGCCCAGGGGACAGGGAGAGGAAGGAAUGAUGGAACUUGAAGAUUUAUCAAAAUGAGGGUGGAAAGAAGUAGACAGAUUCGAGAUGUCCUUGGAAGCAUGGCCUGGGAAGGACAUCUUAGAAUAUUCCCUAAGCCCUUGACUGCAUACUUCAGGACUUCUACUAAGUGAGAAAAAUGAAGUCCCUCUUACGGUUAAGCCACUGUCUCUGUUACAUGUAGCGGAUGGGGAUCCCUAAGUGAUAUGAUCUCUUUGUCGCUACAUUAGCUAGGCUUGUGAUUCACUGUAUAAUGUUCUUGGAUGUAUGAAGUUCUUGGUUAUGCCUAGCACGUGGUAAGCCUGCAGUAAAUGAUAGCUAGAUUCUAAACGUUAGCCACACAGUUGUACAUAAGCUCAGCCAUUGCAGUCUCUGUCGGGGCAUUGUGGCCAACCCCUUCUUCACAGAAAACUUCAGUGAGUAACUGGAACUGGGACCUGGAGGCAGGGAAUGGGAAUAUUUUUGAAAAACCUUCUCUCCUGCUGUCUUCUAUGAGCCAGUUUUUGCAGUCUUCUCCUAUGACCCUCUGGACACACUGGCAAAUGUUUGGGUGUCCUGUUAUCAACCUGUCAGCAGAAGGAAACUGAAAGCAUCACUAGGUUAAGGAGUGAGAUAAACCACAUUAGUGCUGGGACAAUCACAAGCCACUGCCAUUUGUUUGUAUUUCCACCAUGGCAUCGAUUGUACCUUGCAUUAUGGCCGUAGAACAAACUCUGGAGGGCAGGAACCCUGUCUCUUUCAACUUUGUUUCCCCACAGUGCACUUAGCACUAACUAUAGGUGGGUGCAAAAGUAAUUGCGGUUUUGCCAUUUCUUUUCAUGGCAAAAACCGCAAUUACUUUUGCACCAACCCACAGUCCCGACCCCAGUGGGGCAGGCCUGUAUAAACACAAGUGUGUUGAAAUGUACCAAAAUAAAGAUAUGUGCGAAGAAGCAAGAGCAGUGAUUUAUCAUAUGCGGAUUGGCUGCUACCACUGAAGCUGUACUUUAUGUCAACUACCUCACUUGAACCUCACGGGUAAGACACAGUAAGUAUCAUUGCCCCAGAUUCUAUGAAUAAAAGCCUGUGGCUUAAAGGGAGGUGAUGUCUUCCCCAAAGUCACAUGGAAAGUUGUAAGCACAAGAAGCCCCGGUCCUUACUGUAGUUCACUGCAUCAUACAACUCCAGGAGGAGGGGAGCAUUGACCUGGGCCGCAGCGUGAACGGUGCCCGUCAGGAUCAUGCAGUGGAGCUGGGCUGUAUCAGAGGCUGUGGUGGGGGUUUUGCUCUUACUCCAGCGCUACAGCCUGAAUGUUUCCUUUUGCUGAAGUCCUAGCCAUAGGGCUGUUCUCCAAGGGAAACAUCACCUCUUCAGAACUUUGUUGGGGAAGUUUAUAGGCUUGAUUUAGGCUUAUAGGUUUCAUCCCUUUUGGGAUACAAUGGACAGACUCUAAGACAAGUGAUUUAUUUACAUUCAGCUAUUUGGCAAGUGGCUGAUCUAGAACUUGAAACCAGGUCUGUAGACUCCAAAGCUCAUUCCCUUUGCUUCCAGGCUUCUCCAACAGGAGUCUGGCUGAGUAGCCUUUGGACCCAAGAUGGUGUGUCCAGACCAUAGGCUCAUGAAACCACAAAAUAAACUUACUUUUCACAGUGCAUUAGGAAGUCUAGUGCAAUAAUUGUAUCUGAUGUUAAAAAUGAAAUGUAAGACUUUAAAUAAAUUCCAGACUUGCCAUAAACACCUGGGCUAGGGCUCCAGACAUGGUCCCAGUUACUUCCCCGUCCCUCAACUGCUGACCUUUUUCUGCAGUAUUGGGGUGCUUUGGUGGAAAGGUUUGAGAAGCACAAGGCUAUGCUAUAGUGGUUUCCCUAACACUGAGCUUCCAGUCUUCACCACUGCGCAG